rnacentral:hammerhead_ribozyme from 1 species
ACAUUGCUGAGGAGUCCUAAAACAGGACGAAACGGCCUUCAUCAUAU